UUGCCUCUGUCUCUUCCUUUAGUAGCUUUGUAAAGGGUCAGUCAGCAUUGUUUGUGCCCAUGUGCUAUGACUGCUUAGUGAUGGCCAUUGAAGCAUCAUCAGAGGGGGCCAAAUAUACUUCUCAAAAGACACUUACAUGGAUCAUUUUAAUUUGUUAAGGAGCCUUGAAUUUGUCUGUGAGUGCUACAGCUCUGCAGUCCUGCAUUCUGCAAGAAAGGAUCUCACCUUCAGAUUAUGAACCAGAUGAGGAUUACAGACAUUGAAUAAAAAUCUUUGCCGUGUGUGAAAUGGAGUUCUUCGAGGCUGUAUCUUUUAAUGGCUGAGAGGACAAAGCAUUCCAAACAGGCAGUAUGAACAGGACUGCUGCAAGUUUUGCUCACUUUGUUCUUAAUUUGCUUAUAUUUUAUUCAAUAUUACUGGAAAUUUUUCCUCCAGCUAACAUUAUA